UGGCUCUCGCAUCGAUGAAGAACGCAGCGAAAUGCGAUAAGUAAUGUGAAUUGCAGAAUUCAGUGAAUCAUCGAAUCUUUGAACGCACCUUGCGCCCUCUGGUAUUCCGGAGGGCAUGCCUGUUUGAGUGUCGUGAAGACUCAAUCCCCCGGGUUUCCGGGAAGAUUGGAAUUGGGCGUCUGCCGUGCUCCGGCUCGCCUCAAAUGUCUUAGUGGGGACCUGCAUCCCGUCGAGAGUAAUAAGUUUCUUUCGACGUGUGUGGUGGACCUGCUCACAACCCGUGCUUCGGCACACUUUUCGACUCUGACCUCAAAUCAGGUAGGGCUACCCGCUGA
rnacentral:misc_RNA from 1 species